GCCUUCAUUAAAGAAACUGGUUGCAGUUACAGAAAUUUUGACAGAUCACAAGAAAAGAUAUAUGACUUGAUGAAAGAAGAACUAAUUGUGAAUGUGUUCAAAUCCUUAUUCGAUCACUUGUAAAAGUGAAUCUGAUUGGUUCAUUAAGUGUAGUUCACUUAUAGAGCAACUGAUUGGUUGAUUAUGAUCCACUGGUUUCCUAACAUUACCUUUAUGUUGAACCAGUAUAGGCUGUGAUAUUACAGUAGUGGCAGAUUUACAUUAGCUUUAAACAUUGGCCACCAUUGAUGCAUUUUAACAAGAUUGUUUUUAUGUCUAAGCUGUGAUCUUUAAGAAUUCAAAAGACCUUCAAAACUUAUUUUCUUUUCAAAUUAUGUGUUUGAAUGAACUAAAUUUAAGUGUUAGCUUAAAAACAUAAAUUCUUUAAAGAUAUAUGCUACUUUAUGGAAGCAAUCUUCAUUGUAAGAAUAAUGAAUAUUAUUAAGAAUUCACUCAUAAAGAAAGGGAAAUAACUUAUGUCGUGCUCUGUUUUGAAAUUGGUCUUUGUAUUUGUUUAUUGAUAGCAUUGUUGUUAAUGUAUGACACAAAUGAUGAAUUGGUGCCUCAAGCUUAUGUGUUCAAAUAAAUGUAUUUUUUCUGCCUGUGAUACUGAUUUGUAAGUGCUUUAUAUUUCUCGUUACAUAAUUGGAAAGAUAGAACAUUCUGAUAUCAAAUUCAGGCAACUUAGAUAUCCUUUAACUAAGAGCCUCCUUUUGAUACUUUUUUCUCUACCUGUUAAUCAUCCUCAACAUUAAAUUCAUUUAUAAAUCAUGUAAAAUAUCUAUUGUCCCAAAGAGAUUUCUACUACAUUUUCAUCUGCAAAGGAAGUAAAUUAUAUAAAAGUUUUUAAUUAUGUGCAUAUUUU
rnacentral:lncRNA from 1 species